ACGGAUCGGGAAGAGGCGGGAUUUCCUCCCCGGAAGGGACCCACGUGCUUCCGCCUGACCCUACCUGGGCACCCGGUGAAUUUCCAGUGUUUACCCGAAGUUGGGGAUACCGGGGGCACAGUGACAGACCUCCGGCCGUGGUCUAGGAGGCCAGAAGGAGAUCCCCUCGACCGUUCAGGGCUGAAAUGGACCCACUCAGGGCCCAGCAGCUGGCAGCAGAGCUGGAGGUAGAGAUGAUGGCUGAUAUGUACAACAGAAUGACCAGUGCCUGCCACCGGAAGUGCGUGCCUCCCCACUACAAGGAAGCAGAACUGUCCAAGGGCGAGUCUGUGUGCUUGGACCGGUGCGUCUCCAAAUACCUGGACAUCCAUGAGCGGAUGGGCAAAAAGCUCACAGAGUUAUCUAUGCAGGACGAAGAGCUGAUGAAGAGGGUGCAGCAGAGCUCUGGGCCUGCGUGAGGCCCCAGACAGUACACCCCAAGGUGCACCCUGCCCCCUCCCACUUGUCUAAUAAACGUGCCCCUGUUGGGUGUCAUCUGGGAAGACGGCCGGGCCUAUGCUCUUUCUGGAGAGUCUCCAGGUGCCUGGAGUAUGAUAGAGCUCUUUCCUGGUCAAAGAAGGGUAUUUGUCACACUGGAAUGUGACCGUAUACGUGUGUGUGUGUGUGUAUAUUCAUAUAUAUGUUAUGUAUUAAAACAAGUUUGUUGACUCCUGCAGUGUGCAAA